CUAUCCGGCCAUACCUCCUUGUCAAUACCCAAUCUAGGUCUCAGAAGCUAAGCACACAGAGUUGGGCCUUGUUAAUACUUGGAUGGGAGACCUCUGGGAAUCCUAGGUGCCACAGU
rnacentral:rRNA from 1 species